rnacentral:misc_RNA from 1 species
GAAAUGCGAUAAGUAAUGUGAAUUGCAGAAUUCAGUGAAUCAUCGAAUCUUUGAACGCACAUUGCGCCCGCCAGUAUUCUGGCGGGCAUGCCUGUUCGAGCGUCAUUACAACCCUCAGGCCCCCGGGCCUGGCGUUGGGGAUCGGGGAAGCCCCCUGCGGGCACAACGCCGUCCCCCAAAUACAGUGGCGGUCCCGCCGCAGCUUCCAUUGCGAAGUAGCUAACACCUCGCAACUGGAGAGCGGCGCGGCCACGCCGUAAAACACCCAACUUCUGAAUGUUGACCUCGAAUCAGGUAGGAAUACCCGCUGAACUUAAGC